rnacentral:rRNA from 1 species
CCUACGGGAGGCAGCAGUGAGGAAUAUUGGUCAAUGGACGAGAGUCUGAACCAGCCAAGUAGCGUGAAGGAUGACUGCCCUAUGGGUUGUAAACUUCUUUUAUAUGGGAAUAAAAUGUUCCACGUGUGGGAUUUUGUAUGUACCAUAUGAAUAAGGAUCGGCUAACUCCGUGCCAGCAGCCGCGGUAAUACGGAGGAUGCGAGCGUUAUCCGGAUUUAUUGGGUUUAAAGGGAGCGUAGGUGGAUUGUUAAGUCAGUUGUGAAAGUUUGCGGCUCAACCGUAAAAUUGCAGUUGAAACUGGCAGUCUUGAGUACAGUAGAGGUGGGCGGAAUUCGUGGUGUAGCGGUGAAAUGCUUAGAUAUCACGAAGAACUCCGAUUGCGAAGGCAGUUCACUGGACUGCAACUGACACUGAGGCUCGAAAGUGUGGGUAUCAAACAGGAUUAGAUACCCGUGUAGUC